rnacentral:lncRNA from 1 species
UAGCAACAGACCGACAGAUUUGACUGGAAAUCUUUUGUCCAGUGCACCAAACUACCUAAACAGAAUACGGCCAUAAGAUUGUCAUGUCCGGUUAAACGUAUGUCUCGUUAAAUAUUUGUGACAGCCGAUCGAUCAAUAAUAUUUGGAACUGACUGUCUUUAGUGCAAGUGGAAAAAUGUUUGAUGGUUGGUAUCUGAGAUUUCAAAUUUGAAGCGUAAUUACUUCAUAUUUUCAGCAAAAUUUAUUUCUAAAAAAAUAUUUCUAAAAAAAAAAAGUUCCAAGCUAUC